rnacentral:rRNA from 1 species
UUUUAUAUUUUUGUUUAUUUGGUUUUGUGUUUUUAUUAAAACAUUUUUAAAUAUAGUAUUUGUGAUAGAAAUAUGUCUUAGUUGAUGUACUGUAAGGGGAAUUAAAAAAUUUUUGUAGAAGUGUUUUGUUUUUACUUUUUGUAUCAUGGGUUGGUGAGUAUAAAAUUUUAUUUAUUUUACCCGAAGCUUUGUGAGCUAUUUUUUUUAUGCGUUGAGCAUUUGUAUAAUGUUGAAAAAUUAUAUGUAUAAAUUUAAAUUGGUGUGAAAUUCUAUUCGUACAAAGUGAUAGCUGGUUUUUGUUGUAAGGCCUAUAGGGUUGUACUAUUUAGUUUUUGUAAAUAAAUCUUUUGGGGAUAAGCUUGAGAGAUUUUAUGAAUGGUGAUAAUAAAUGUUUUAAUGGUGGGAAUAAAAGCUGCCUUUUUUGAUAAGUUCGUUUUAGAUUGACUGGUUGUUUGUUUGUAUCUUUUUUCAAAACAAAAUUUAUUAUUUAAUUGCUAUUGUAAAUUUUAAUGCUAAUAUUAGUACUUUGUUAUGGUAAGGUAUUUUCGUUAUUGUAGGGAAAAUUUUUAAAGUAUAAAUUUUUUAUGUUAUUUAUAGGAAUUCGGCAAAAUUUUGCUCCAACUGUUUAUCAAAAACAUAGCUUGUUGAGUGUUUGAUAACAAGUAGUUUCUGCCCGGUGAUUUUAAACGGCCGCGGUAUUUUGACCGUGCAAAGGUAGCAUAAUCAUUUGUCCUUUUAUUGGGGGCUGGUAUGAAGGAAAGAUUGUGAGCUUAGCUGUCUUUUUGUAAUGUGUGGAAUUUGUUGUUUUUGUGAAGAAACAAAAAUGUAGAAAAAAGACAAGAAGACCCUAUUAAGCUUUAUUUUUAUUAGUUUUUAUUUUUCUUUGUAAGUAUCUUUUUAAAUGCUUAAAAAAUUUGGUUGGGGUGACCAAAAAGGACAUGAUCCUCUUUUAUUUGUUUUACUUUAUGUUUAAUGUAGAUCCAGAAUUUUCUGAUUAAAAGAAUUAGUUACUAUAGGGAUAACAGCGUAAUUUUUUCUGAGAGUUCUGAUUGAAGAAAAAGUUUGCGACCUCGAUGUUGACUUAUUAUUUCCUGUUAAGGUGCAGCAGCUUUUAGGGUUAGUCUGUUCGACUAUUAAAAUAAUACGUGAGUUGAGUUCAGACCGGCGUGAGCCAGGUUGGUUUCUAUCUUUUUUUAUUUUGUUAGGGUUGGGUUAGUACGAGAGGAUUAUCCAGUCUAAUUUUAUUAU